rnacentral:snRNA from 1 species
UCUCAGCAUUUUUAUUUAGCUUU